rnacentral:lncRNA from 1 species
CAGAACUUGGGAGAUGGAGGCAAGAAGAUUGAGGGUUCAAAGGUAGCUUAGGCAACACAUCAAGACUCAACCUAAAUCAGAAGCAAAGCAACAAAAAUGCCACAACCACAGAGCAAACCAAAAGAAAAAAAUUUGGUGAGAUUGGCAACCAACCUAGGGGAUUUAAAGCAAAAAGGCUAUGUGGCAGGUCAAUGAUAAGAUGGGCUGUAUAAUCUGCAAGGUGUACAGCAGGCUUCCAUGGGACUGUGACCAUGUAUAUACCAUCACUACCAUGAUGGGUAUUGUGAGGAGAGGGUGUGGCAGCAGUCCCAAGAAGGCGCCAGGGACUGCAGCUAAGUCUUAUGACUUGCACCUGACUUCCUCAUACACCUGAAAAUAAGCCAUGACCAUUGUGAGAGCUGCGCAGGUGCACCAUGAUGCUGGCGGUUUAAACAAGUCCAUAUUUGGUGGAGACGCACCCCUGCUGCCCUGAUUGGCUGAAGCUGCGUGCCUGGUGAGGCAGGUUGAAUUCAUCUGCCUGCUUCCAUAGGCUCCAUCCAGACUAAGCUCUACAGGAACUGCCACCGAGACAGAAGUCUCUCUUUCCUCAGUCACUUGGCCCAACUCAAAUAAGUCCAAAGGACAGAAGAGUAAUGUGUGAAGUAGGAGCCACAGGGCAGGAGACGCCAAACCAGAGGGGCUGGAACUCACCUGUUCAGAAGAUUUACAUGGCCGCCUUUGACUUUUAUGACACUGACAAUUCAGAGGAAUAAGACACUUUUAAGAUACUAGUAGAGAGUUAGCUCCUUGGGGCUUGGCGGGUGUCACUUCUUGAGGGUAAGUGGUUUAUGCAUUCUGACUACACCGUGGCAGAGGUGACCAUAGGUUUGUGACAGGGACUUGUACUAAGAGCAAUGUGACCCAUAUCCUCAUCAAUGUCAAGAUGGCUUCUGAUGUUCCCAGCUGAAUGCUGAUAGCUUUUCUUCCCAACUAACAAAGCAAUCUGUGAAGAGACAAAAUUUUUAAAAGGCUUUUAAAAAAUAUUAUUCUAUCUGUCUCCCUGUCUCCCACUCCAGCCAUGUAUGUGCAUCUCCUCUCUCUGUCUCUGUCUCUGUCUCUGUCUCUCUCUCUCUCUGUCUCUCAGUGUAUAUGUGUGUGUGUGUGUGUGUGUGUGUGUGUAUGUGUGUGUGUGUGAAAAAGAGAGAGAGAAAUCAGUUCUCUCCUUCUACCAUGUGGGUUCCAGGGAUUGAACUUGCAUCUCAGCCUUGGCAGCAAGCACCUUUACCUACUUACUGAUCUAUUUUCUAUUUUAACAGCUCUGGGAGACCCCUCAAGGGCACACAGAUAUUCUGUUCCUAUUAAAUUAACGUCACCAGUUGAAAAUCAAUUAAUGAUCAAUCCCAGAAAUGGCAUUCACUUUGGUGGUUGAGAAAUGGAAUGACUUAUAGGUUAGCAUUCUUUGCACUCAGCUUCACUUAGCAUUGAAAGUUUGACUUCAAGCCAGAGCAUCUAUUAAUGCUACAGACAUAUAUUCUUAAUGCUUUGGAUUUAUGGAUUUAUGUUUAUUAGUGGGUGAUUAUUUUUGGUCCUCAAAUUGCUUCAGAAAUGAUUUUGGGGUUGGAAGGAUAAUAGAGGGUGGUAAAGGUGCUUGCUGCCAAGUCUGACUAUCUGAGGUUGAGCCCUAAACCUAUAUGACAGGCAGGAAGAACUGAGUCUUAAAAACUGCCCACUGACCUCCACACCCCAACUAUCACACAUACAACAAAUAAGUAAAUGUUAUAAAAGCAAAAAGAAAAAAAAAUCUUGGUCUUUUUCAGAUGAGUGUUUCCCUAUGCCUUGUCCUAGAAUUGGACAUUUUUGAAAACCUUGUUUUUCUUGACUUCUCUGGAUCUUCAUGACCAAAAUGGCCUUCAAAACAAGAAUGGAGUGUUAGAUUUAGUUCCUUGCUUGACAUAUCUGUUUUAUUUACUGCAUGAAUAAAUACAAACUUUCUC